CCUGUACUGACCUGGGCGUGUACUCCAGGUGAGAGUGGAUCUGGACCUAUAUGAACCUUGUUCUGGUCCGGUACUGACCUGGGCGUAUACUCCAGGUGAGAGUGGACCGGACCUAUCUGGACCUGGUUCUGGUUCUGUACUGACCUGGGCGUGUACUCCAGAGACAGGUAGACAGUACUCCAGGUGAGAGUGGAUCUGGACCUGGUUCUUGUUCUGUACUGACCUGGGUGUGUACUCCAGGUGAGAGUGGAUCUGGACCUAUCUGAACCUGGUUCUGGUCCUGUACUGACCUGGGCGUAUACUCUAGGUGAGAGUGGACCUGGUUCUGGUUCUGGUUCUGUACUGACCUGGGUGUGUACUCCAGGUUUGAGUGGACCUGGUUCUGGUUCUGGUUCUGUACUGACCUGGGCGUGUACUCCAGGUUUGAGUGGACCUGGUUCUGGUUCUGGUUCUGUACUGACCUGGGCGUGUACUCCAGGUGAGAGUGGAUCUGGACCUGGUUCUGGUUCUG